AGAGUUUGAUCAUGGCUCAGAACGAACGCUGGCGGCGUGGAUAAGACAUGCAAGUCGAACGCUAAUCAGGAGGUAGCAAUAUUUCCUGGUUGGAGUGGCGCAAGGGUGCGUAACACGUGGGUAAUCUGCCGUGAAGCCUGGGAUAACUCGCUGAAAGGCGAGCUAAUACCGGAUGUGACUGUUGGGGAGCAUUUCCCGACAUUGGAAGCUGGGGACUGUCAAAGGCCUGGCACUUCACGAUGAGCCCGCGGCCUAUCAGCUAGUUGGUGAGGUAACGGCUCACCAAGGCUAAGACGGGUAGCUGGUCUGAGAGGACGACCAGCCACACUGGAACUGAGACACGGUCCAGACACCUACGGGUGGCAGCAGUCGAGAAUUUUUCACAAUGGGCGCAAGCCUGAUGGAGCGACGCCGCGUGGGGGAUGAGGGGUUUCGACCCGUAAACCCCUGUCAUUUGCGAACAAACCUUAUGCAAUAACACUGCAUGAGCUGAUUGUAGUGAAAGAGGAAGGGACGGCUAACUCUGUGCCAGCAGCCGCGGUAAUACAGAGGUCCCAAGCGUUGUUCGGAUUCACUGGGCGUAAAGGGUGCGUAGGUGGCCAGGUAAGUUUGGUGUGAAAUCUCGGAGCUUAACUUCGAAAAGUCAUUGAAUACUAUCUGGCUAGAGGGUCGGAGGGGAGACUGGAAUUCUCGGUGUAGCAGUGAAAUGCGUAGAUAUCGAGAGGAACACCAGUGGCGAAGGCGAGUCUCUGGACGACUCCUGACACUGAGGCACGAAAGCUAGGGGAGCAAACAGGAUUAGAUACCCUAGUAGUCC
rnacentral:rRNA from 1 species